rnacentral:lncRNA from 1 species
AUGGUACCAUCAACAUGGCCGCGCUUUGACUCUGCUGCUGGUCAACUUUUGAACGUCAACAGAAAAUAUCAACAAAACACAAAAACAAAUAACACGAACUGAUAAUGUGGCAACGUGGAGAGGAGGCUGACCCUAUCGCAACUCCAAGGUGACCUCUGUCACCAACAAUAACUCAACAAUCCAGUAGUGAAUCCAAUCCAGUCAAUCGCUUCUAGCCGGUGCUUAUUUGCAGUUCUUCAAUAGAAAAAAACGAAGAAAUGUCGGCUCCACAGAGCGAUGUGGAAAGAAGAAAGCAGAUCAGUGUGCGGGGCAUUGCAGAAGUUGGCGAUGUAACCGAAAUCAAGAAAACUUUUAAUAGGCACGUUCACUACACUUUGGUAAAAGACCGAAAUGUAGCCACCCCUAGGGAUUACUACUUCGCCCUUGCCCAUACUGUGAGGGAUCAUUUGGUGUCCCGGUGGAUUCGCACCCAACAGCACUAC